CACGCACACACACUCGAAAUACACACACACACAGACAAAUACACACAGUUUUUAAUCAAAAUAAAUAAAAAUUUCAUGUUGUCAUGCACUUUACAUGACUUAUGUUUGUGAUAUUUAAAUUAUAUUUCGGUAGACUUGUAAUUAGACAAGAAAAGAGACAAUAACUCAUCUGCUACCCUUACAGUAUCGGGUCCCAUCUCUGAUGUGGUCUGGACAACAGCAAGUGAUGGGAUCAUUGCGUGUUGAGAAAGCUAAAAGCAUGAAACUGUGUUAAACAAAAAGAAUUGUCAUUAAAAAAAUGCCCAUGCUGACUCAAUAAGCACUGCACGCACAGUAGGGAGAGCUGGAAAACAAGAAGCUACUUGAAUCCUGUUACAGACACCAAGACAGCAGACAACGUUUGAAAUGUGUGUUUUGGUCUCACUGCGACCAACUAACGCAUCAAUAAACAGUGGAAUAAAAUCCGGACAUUUUUACAUUUUGGGCCGAUUCCUACAUGAGACAAGACCUCAAAAAGGAGAACACGUCCUCUUUCUCCGGACGUCUAGUAACCCGAACCUUUCAGGAAUCCACGUCUCAACGUUGCGGCACAACUGAUGACUCUGUUUCUAUUUAGUACAUUCAUGAAAGCAAAUCAUAACAAGUUUAAAGUUUAAAGAUGAGUUUAAUUCUCACUUAGUUUAUAAUUCUUCGAGAGUUAGUGUCAUCUGCAAAUUGGAAACUAAAAAAAAGCUUCCGGUUUCAUUUUCACCUUGUCUUUCAGUUCCGGAAACCGCAAGAUUUAAUCUUAAAUUCUAAACACAUUUUUUAAAUGUACACGUCAUUUAGAUCAGGAUAUAAAUAGAUCUAGUUGCAAACUCCUAAAUAUAUUUACCUCUAUGACUCAAAAAUAAAGGGACUCAAUAUCUAGGCAACAUAGAGUAGGGUCUAUAACAAAAUAUAGCAACAUGCUAGCCUUACCAUUGAAUGGUUGAUUUAGGUUUAGAUCUGGAUUUUAUUCCUCAAUGUAGAACACUCAUUCAUGUUUUCGUGAUAAUGCAUAGACUAGAUCUACAGAAAUGUACAGAAUCUAGACUCAAGUUUACAAUUAUGGAGUGUUCACAGCAAUUCUGAUUCUCUAGACUAGACUCUAGAUUAGAUCUAUCUACCCAAAUAUGUGCACAUAUAUUUGAAAACGUUCUGGCAUUUGUCCUGGUAAUCCAUCAAAAGUUCUAGACAAUGAAAAGGCAAUUUAAAAUCCAACGUUUAGAAUGAAACACAGAUGGCAUUUUAUCACUCUAUUUUGCUGUGCUCUUUACGCUUGCACUAAAUCGAAUCAAAGACUGCUUGGUUUUGGUUAUCCCCCUUUUUCGUGCACACGAGGGGCGGUAGGAAGAGUAGCAUCCAUACUCUUUGUUUUUCUUGUAGCCAAGGUUAGGCGCAGAAAUUUCUAUGGCAUAACGAAAGCGCCACUUUUUCUCGUUUUAAUACCAAUGUUAAACGUAACCAUUAAUUUACUUUAUAUAAAGCUUAUAUUAAUUUUUAACUCACCCUGUCUCUCUGUCUGUCUGGGUGGAUUCUUUUACACUUUUCUCCAACUUCGCUUUCUCGAAUCAAGUAGAAAUUUCGCGCAAUCAUUCAUUGUCAAUGACAACACAUUAAUCUUUUUUUUUUAAUUAACCAAUUAGCUAAUCAAUUAGUCGUAACUAAUUAAUCAACUAAUUUUGUAUUACACAAAAAACGGGAGGAUAAAACUUGUAAUAUUGAGAUAUGGUAGUAAUUAAACAGUGCGCUAACUUAAUUCUAUAUAGGCCUAAGUAUGUUUUUUUUAAGUAUUUAUAUAUUAAUUUUGCUGGUUUCACUUUCUUUACACAAUUUAUUACAUACAAAUAGAAUGUAUAUAGGUAAGUGUUAUGUAGUGUAUGUGUGUGUUUCCAGGGUAAAGACGAGGAAAGGAGAGCUGGUGUUUCUGAUGAAACCAUGAGCUUGUCUGUCCUAAUGGAUAUUACAAACUCGGUCACUUGUAUGAUAGUUGAGGGAGUUUUGUUUAAGAGACGUGAAACAGUACAGACGUGGUUGUGUAGUUAGAGUUGGAGUUCAAUAAUCAUUUCAUUAUAGGUUAAUAUUAGAUCUCAUUUAAAAUUGGAUUUAUUUAUAUUUAUAAAUAAAAGUUAUAUUGAAGUUUGUUUAAAAAGACUUUUCAAGUUUAUUUCAGCAUGAAUUGAAUACAUCCUCAUCGGUUUGGGUGCAUUAGCUGUUUGGUUCUGCAUACAUACCAGCCAACUACCAACAACAAUAGGACACUACACUAUAGACUAUAGAGAGAUAAACAUAGGGGGAAAAAACACCCUAUAGGAAACCUUGACAUUUCCAGCAUACUAGACUUAGAAAUUUGAUAUUAGAAAUAAUUAAACUAAUUAAAUUGGAUAGCUGCUUGGUCCCGUGGUAUGCGCUCUAAGCCAUCGUCUCGAUGGUCCUGGGUUCGAACCGUGCCCGCAGCCAGCGAGAUGUUUGGGAUUAGAAUGUAAUAAUCUUCAAGUCUGAACGUAGAGGCCUACAACAAACGUCGGAAACGUGUAAAACAAAAACAAAACAAAAUUAUUUUAUAAUAAAAUGUAUUUCUUUGC